rnacentral:rRNA from 1 species
UACUUAGGGUGCAAGCGUUAAUCGGAAUUACUGGGCGUAAAGCGUGCGCAGGCGGUUUUGUAAGGCUGUCGUGAAAGCCCCGGGCUCAACCUGGGAAUUGCGAUGGAGACUGCAAGGCUUGAAUCUGGCAGAGGGGGGUAGAAUUCCACGUGUAGCAGUGAAAUGCGUAGAGAUGUGGAGGAACACCGAUGGCGAAGGCAGCCCCCUGGGUCAAGAUUGACGCUCAUGCACGAAAGCGUGGGGAGCAAACAGG